UAGCUAGUUGGUGAGGUAACGGCUUACCAAGGCGACGAUCUGUAGCGGGUCUGAGAGGAUGAUCCGCCACACUGGAACUGAGACACGGUCCAGACUCCUACGGGAGGCAGCAGUGGGGAAUUUUGGACAAUGGGGGCAACCCUGAUCCAGCCAUGCCGCGUGAGUGAAGAAGGCCUUCGGGUUGUAAAGCUCUUUCGGCCGGGAAGAAGUCGCAUGGGCCAAUACCCUGUGUGGAUGACGGUACCGGAAUAAGAAGCACCGGCUAACUACGUGCCAGCAGCCGCGGUAAUACGUAGGGUGCGAGCGUUAAUCGGAAUUACUGGGCGUAAAGCGUGCGCAGGCGGUUUUGUAAGACAGGCGUGAAAUCCCCGGGCUCAACCUGGGAACUGCGUUUGUGACUGCAAGGCUAGAGUACGGCAGAGGGGGGUGGAAUUCCACGUGUAGCAGUGAAAUGCGUAGAGAUGUGGAGGAACACCAAUGGCGAAGGCAGCCCCCUGGGUCGAUACUGACGCUCAUGCACGAAAGCGUGGGUAGCAAACAGGAUUAGAUACCCUGGUAGUCCACGCCCUAAACUAUGUCAACUAGGUGUUGGGUGGGUAAAACCAUUUAGUACCGUAGCUAACGCGUGAAGUUGACCGCCUGGGGAGUACGGCCGCAAGGUUAAAACUCAAAGGAAUUGACGGGGACCCGCACAAGCGGUGGAUGAUGUGGAUUAAUUCGAUGCAACGCGAAAAACCUUACCUACCCUUGACAUGCCAGGAACUUGCCAGAGAUGGCUUGGUGCCCGAAAGGGAGCCUGGACACAGGUGCUGCAUGGCUGUCGUCAGCUCGUGUCGUGAGAUGUUGGGUUAAGUCCCGCAACGAGCGCAACCCUUGUCGUUAAUUGCCAUCAUUUAGUUGGGCACUUUAGCGAGACUGCCGGUGACAAACCGGAGGAAGGUGGGGAUGACGUCAAGUCCUCAUGGCCCUUAUGGGUAGGGCUUCACACGUCAUACAAUGGUCGGUACAAAGGGUCGCCAAGCCGCGAGGUGGAGCCAAUCCCAGAAAGCCGAUCGUAGUCCGGAUUGCAGGCUGCAACUCGCCUGCAUGAAGUCGGAAUCGCUAGUAAUCGUGGAUCAGCAUGUCACGGCGAAUACGUUCCCGGGUCUUGUACACACCGCCCGUCACACCAUGGGAGCGGGUUCCGCCAGAAGUAGGUAGCCUAACCGCAAGGAGGGCGCUUACCACGGCGGGGUUCGUGACUGGGGUGAAGUCGAAACAAGGUAGCCGUAGGGGAACCUGCGGCU
rnacentral:rRNA from 1 species